GCUCGUAGUUGAAAGUGUGUCCUGCGGCGUCGGUCCGCCUUUGCGGCGCGACAGACGCGCCUGCGGGGCUUCUCGCCGGUGUGUUUUCGGCGGCGUCGCUCGCGCGGCGCCGUCGAAUCCUCGCGGCUGUUUACUUUGAACAAAUUAGAGUGCUCAAAGCGGGCUGAUUUUCGCCUGAAUAUUGUGCGCAUGGAAUAAUGGAAUAGGACCUCGGUUCAAUUUUGUUGGCUUUCUGACACCAGAGGUAAUGAUUAAUAGGGACAACUGGGGGCAUUCGUAUUGCGACGUUAGAGGUGAAAUUCUUGGAUCGUCGCAAGACGGACUAAAGCGAAAGCAUUUGCCAAAGGUGUUUUCAUUAAUCAAGAACGAAAGUUAGAGGUUCGAAGGCGAUUAGAUACCGCUGUAGUUCUAACCAUAAAUGAUGCCAGCCAGCGAUCCGCCGAAGGUAUUUAUAUUGAUUCGGUGGGCAGCUCCCGGGAAACCAAAGCUUUC
rnacentral:rRNA from 1 species